rnacentral:lncRNA from 1 species
UUUCAGGGGAAACAAUUGAAGAGAAAAGAUAGAAUAACCCAGAAAGUAUUUCUAUCUUCUUCCCAUCACUGUCCUUGAAAACCNACAGUCUGUGAAUUCUAGCUUCAUCUUCAUUUGCCAUCCAGUGUGAAGACCAGUGAGAAGACUGCUGCAAAGAUCUAUUUGCAGAUUGUACAGAAUAGA